UGCAGUCUGCAACUCGACUGCAUGAAGCUGGAAUCGCUAGUAAUCGCGGAUCAGAAUGCCGCGGUGAAUACGUUCCCGGGUCUUGUACACACCGCCCGUCACACCAUGGGAGUCAGUAACGCCCGAAGUCAGUGACCGAACCGAGAGGACGGAGCUGCCGAAGGCGGGACGGAUAACUGGGGUGAAGUCGUAACAAGGUAUC
rnacentral:rRNA from 1 species